GCAGCCGUGGCCGAGCGGUUAAGGCGAUGGGCUAGAAAUUCAUCGGGGUCUCCCCGCACACGUUCGAAUCAUGUCGACUGCG
rfam:Ixodes scapularis strain Wikel colony gcontig_1108378388184, whole genome shotgun sequence.